AGUCGAACGGCAGCACAGGAGAGCUUGCUCUCUGGGUGGCGAGUGGCGGACGGGUGAGGAAUACAUCGGAAUCUACUUUUUCGUGGGGGAUAACGUAGGGAAACUUACGCUAAUACCGCAUACGACCUACGGGUGAAAGCAGGGGAUCUUCGGACCUUGCGCGAUUGAAUGAGCCGAUGUCGGAUUAGCUAGUUGGCGGGGUAAAGGCCCACCAAGGCGACGAUCCGUAGCUGGUCUGAGAGGAUGAUCAGCCACACUGGAACUGAGACACGGUCCAGACUCCUACGGGAGGCAGCAGUGGGGAAUAUUGGACAAUGGGCGCAAGCCUGAUCCAGCCAUACCGCGUGGGUGAAGAAGGCCUUCGGGUUGUAAAGCCCUUUUGUUGGGAAAGAAAUCCAGCUGGCUAAUACCCGGUUGGGAUGACGGUACCCAAAGAA
rnacentral:rRNA from 1 species